CCAAGCGACAUGUACGAUCGA
rnacentral:snRNA from 1 species